rnacentral:piRNA from 1 species
UAAACAGCUACUUUUCACAGU